rnacentral:rRNA from 1 species
UACGGAGGGAGCUAGCGUUGUUCGGAUAUACUGGGCGUAAAGCGCACGUAGGCGGCGCCGUAAGUCAGGGGUGAAAUCCCGGAGCUCAACUCCGGAACUGCCCUUGAAACUGCAGUGCUAGAAUCUUGGAGAGGUGAGUGGAAUUCCGAGUGUAGAGGUGAAAUUCGUAGAUAUUCGGAAGAACACCAGUGGCGAAGGCGACUCGCUGGACAAGUAUUGACGCUGAGGUGCGAAAGCGUGGGGAGCAAACAGG